GACGUAGGAGGCGAGCGUUGUCCGGAAUCAUUGGGCGUAAAGAGCGCGUAGGCGGCCCUGUAAGUCCGCUGUGAAAGUCAAGGGCUCAACCCUUGAAUGCCGGUGGAUACUGUCGGGCUCGAGUCCGGAAGAGGAGUGUGGAAUUCCUGGUGUAGCGGUGAAAUGCGCAGAUAUCAGGAGGAACACCAAUGGCGAAGGCAGCACUCUGGGACGUGACUGACGCUGAGA
rnacentral:rRNA from 1 species